UACGGGGGGAGCAAGCGUUGUUCGGAAUCACUGGGCGUAAAGGGAGUCUAGGCGGUUUGGUAAGUGGGAUGUGAAAUGCCCGGGCUCACCCCGGGACCUGCAUCCCAAACUGCUGAGCUUGAGUACAGGAGAGGGUGGGGGAAUUCCAGGUGUAGCGGUGAAAUGCGCAGAUAUCAGGAGGAACACCGGUGGCGAAGGCGGCUUGCUGGGCCAGUUCUGACGCUGAGGAGCGAAAGCGUGGGGAGCGAACAGG
rnacentral:rRNA from 1 species